GGCUAACAUGGUAAAACCCCAUCUCUACUAAAAAUACAAAAAUUAGCCGGGCGUGGUGGCGCAUGCCUGUAGUCCCAGCUACUCGGGAGGCUGAGGCAGGAGAAUCCCUUGAACCAGGGAGUCAGAGGUUGCAGUGAGCCGAGAUCACGCCACAGCACUCUAGCCUGGCGACAGAGCAAAACUCUGUCUAAAAAAAAAAAAAAAGAAAGAAAAUGCAAAAAUCAGCUGGGUGUGGUGGCACACGCCUGUAGUCCCAGCUACUCAGGAGGCUGAGGCAGGAGAAUUGCUUGAACCUGGGAGGCGGAGGUUGCAGUGAGCUGAGAUUGUGCCAUGCACUCCAGUGUAGGCAGCAGAGGGAGACUCCAUCUCAAAAGUAAAAUAAAAUAAAAUAAAAAUAAAUUGACCAAAUGGAUUUUAUCUCAGAAAUGCAAUCAGUGAGAUCGAUCAGAUAAUUUACCACAUUUAAAGAAUAAUAUUGCAGAAACAUCUUGAAAAUGAGAUAUAAAAUGUUUUAAUGCCAUUUUCAAUGUCAUAACAUGCACAAACAUUAUUUUGAGACCCCAACAUAAAACUUAAAACCACAAAUUUUGUAGAAAAAUAAUACAAAAUAUUUUUCAACUUUGAAGUGGGUGAAAUUUGCCUAGAAAAGACACAAAAAGCCCUAAACAUAAAACAAUGAUAAAUUGAACCUCAAUAAAGUAAAAAAAAAAAAAAAAAAAAAAAAAGUCUGCUUCUGAAAAGGCAAGUCACAGACCAGAAGAAAAUAUUUGUUUUCUGUGUAUGUAUGUACAUACAUACAAAACCUUUGUCAGGUUUUGGUAAUAGGGUUAUUUUCGCCCCAUAAAUGAGCUGAUAUUAUUUACAACUACAUCUACAUAUUUAAUUUACAUCUACAUAUUUAAUUAUCUGCAUCUACCUGUCUAUAUACUAAAAAGACAACCAAAUCAACAAAUGAGCUGAUAUUAUUUACAUCUACAUCUACAUAUUUAAUUUACAUCUACGUAUUUAAUUAUCUACAUCUACCUGUCUAUAUACUAAAAAGACAACCAAAUCAACAACAACCAAAAAAAGUGUUAAAAAAAGACUUCACAAUAGAAGCUAUAAGAAGACCCAAUAAACUCAUGAAAAGAUGCUCAACACCAUUCAUUAUUAGAGAAAUGCUAUUAAAGACACCAAGAUAGCCUUUUACAUGGACUAGAAUGGCGGAAUAUUGAAGAGAUUGAUAAAACAGUACUCCCAGUAUCAGAGAGUUGUAGAAUAACUGGAGCUGUCAUAUGUUGUUGAAGAAUGUAAAAUAAAUUACAAACAUUUUGGCAAAGUUUGGCAGUGUUUUUGUAAAACUAACAUACAUACUACACCUUCCAGCAAAUCUGCUCCUAGAAAUGAGUAUGUACGCCUACAAAAAGGCUUAUUCAAGAAUAUUCAUAGCUACUUUAUUCAUAAUAGUUAUGAGCUGGAAAAAAACUCAGGCAACCCAAACUAGUAACAACCCAAAUGUCCUCCAACAAGAGAACAGAUAAACAAAUUGUGGUAUACUCAUACAAGGCAGUACUAAUCAGCAAUAAAAACAAAUGAACUACUGAUGCAUGCAUUGCUAAGAUACUGACUAAAUGUCUGUAAGGGUGAUCUUGGACACUUGUGGGCCCCGCUGCGGGCAGAGUGAGGCACUGCCUCUGUGCUUUUCAGUGCUUGAAUCCCACCUGUGCUCAUCACCAUCAUGGUGCUGAAAACAGCACUAUCAGCAUUUAUGUAUUUGUUUACUUCCCCAUCUCCUUACACCAAGAGUUCCUUCAAGUUGGCAAUGGUCUUCCUCACAUCUUUAAUUACCCAAUGUCCUGCCCAGCAUUGGAGAUCUAGCACAGACUCAACCAACAUUUAUGAAAGAACAACGGACACUCAGAUGCAGCUUUUAUUUCCUUUGAGCCUCCUAAGGCCAGUACAAUAGCUAUUCAACAGUGUCUGUUAAAUAGCAAGUGAGAGUCAUUAUUUGGAUGUAGGUAAUUGGAUAAAGUUUCUAUCUUGCCAGCAGUUUGUCUAGAUUAGUUAUAGAUAACUUAAUCCAAGGCAACUUGCCCAAGGCCACCCAGCUGGUCAGGUGUCAGAUGUGGGUGACUGACUAGUUGUUCUUCCCACCUCACUGCAGCUGCCUCCUCUCAUAAUAUGCUCAAGGAGUCAGUGCCUAAAAGUGGUACUUCCUUCCAUGCAGAACAACUGCAAGCUGUCAGAAUCUGUACAAGGAAGAUGUCAUCCUGUUUGGCUGGGGUACCUCGGAAGCAGUGGGAGGUGGAGUCCCUCCCACAUGCCAUCCUGAGGGCAGCAGUGGCAGUUCUUUUGCUUCCUGUCCCUUCUGAGGGGCAGAGCAGAGCCUUUUCUGAGAAUCAAGUCAGAGCAAGCCUAGGCACAAGAGUGAGUGGAGGAGGGGUAGGGUCACAGACAUUUUAGCCUCUUCAUGCUUGAGAAAGAAAUGAGAACUCAUCUUCUCAGAGGCAAGGGCAGAGGUAGAAGCCCAGCCUGUCCUGAACGAGAAGGGUGACCUUGGCAGUACUCUAAGAAGUAGUCAAGUCCGGGUGUGGUGGCUCACGCCUGUAAUCCCAGCACUUUGGGAGGCCGAG
rnacentral:lncRNA from 1 species